AUUAACUCUACCAUACAACUCAAAAGUUCCUAUAUGAAUUUAAAAAUGUUGGUUUAAGUUACUCUCCCUAAAAGCAGUUUUAAGAUAUUCCCCCUAAUUUAUCCUGGAUUGCCUCUCUUUCUGUCUGUCUGUCUGUCUGGUCUAUCUAUCUCUCCACCUGCUUCACGCGGUGCAUCUCAACACCUCUGGACACAGACGGAGAAACCUUCCCUGGUGAAUUAACAGCUCACUGGCACCUCCCGCUCACUGGCGGGCAGAGCAUGGUGGCUGUGGGGUGCCUCUUGCUGGCAGGCAUCUGUGGCAACCUGGACCCCCUCCGUGGGCCUGCGCUGCCCCCUGCUGCCUUCCUGGAGCAUGUCCCCACUGUCCACUGCUGGAGAAGGCAGCCUGUGCGCCUUUCCUGAAGGGAACCUGGAGUCCUCCUUUGUAGUUUACCAUCAUGUGCCUUAGAGCUGUGGACUGAUGAUCUAUCGCAUCAGGUAUGAUAAGUGCUCAGCGUUGUAUUUUAUUUUUAGAUUGAUAUUUGUACCUGCUCAUCCUAAUCUGGUCAGCCGUGCCCUUGGUUUCUGGGUGGAUGCAGUAAGUACUUUGAUUGCCCAGGAAGAAAUCACGAUUCUUUCUCUGAAAAGGUGCGGGGAAACAGCUUUGGGAAUGCCACAUCCAGCUGACUUGCCCCUGAGCUGUCCCAGUAAACAAGCAGGCUGCCAAAGAGCCCUCCUGCUAGGCGUGGGGGCAUGGUGGGCUGGGGGACAGCUUCUGGGCUGUCCGUGAUCUGGCCAUGUGACCGCCCACCUGUGGUGGACCUCCUGAGGUCAUUAAGUUAGAGGUGUUGGCACUGAUGUCCAUUCAGAGGAACACCAGAACAGUCUACAGUCAUCAAACUCAUGUUUCUAAGGAGCUUUUAAUCUCAUGGAGAACACUGUGGAUGAAUUUCAAAUGAUGGAAAAGUGCAGAAUUAUAUAUGACUUCAAUAAUGUUUAAACAAAUGGAAUAGAGCACCAGUGAAUCCAGUUCUUCAAUUAUUAACAGCAAUCUUCUCUGCAUUUCCUAAAGUAUGUUGUCAAUGUUUUCUAAAGUAAAAUGGGGUGUUUUAUUAUGAACAGAACAUUAGCAGUUGGUUUAAAAUGAGCAUCUUUGACUAUGCAAAGAAUAACCUCAUCUAUAUAGCACACUUACAUUAUGAACAAUAAAGAAUUUGAUGAAAUUUUUUUUUUUCAUUAUCUACUGACAUGAACAUUCUUUUUCAUCAAAGGGUCUGAAAUAUCAGGCUAUUAAACCUAAAACCCUAAAACUAAGAUGGUAAGGGUUAUUAUUUAAACAUUUUACAAAAAUUCAUUAACAUUUAAUUUAUAAUCAUUAGAGCUCUAUUUAUUAUUAACAUUGAUCUCAUCAGAUCUUAAAUAUCAAGACUUCAAUAGUUUUAGAAAUUAUUGGAUGCAUUUAUAAUCUAAUAUUCCUAAUAUCAUAUUAUAAUAGCUGGGGUUAUAAUUCAAUAGUUUACAGUAGCUUUAUAAACCAUGGAUUAGAAUUUCAUCAUUAUGUAUAUGAGAACCAUUAUUAUUAAGUUUGGUAACACUCGUUCCUUGAUGGAACCCAGGUAAACCAGCUGAGCCUGAAACUUGAGUGGUUGUUGACUUGUGUCUCUUUAGAUUCCCUUCCCUCAACGCAUACAUUCUCCUUUUUAUUACUUUUUGAGAUAAUUCAUGGCUUCACGGAGAAAAGUCUCUUUUGUGGAGUGUUACAAUGCAGAGCCUUUACCCUGUGGGACUUCACAUUUCUCCCCAUGGUUCAAAACUGGACCUGAAGACUCUACUUAAUUUUAGGCCUAAUUCAUUAUCAUUUUUAUUUCCAUUUUCUUUUAGAAAAAAAUCAUUCAUGAUUUAGAUUACAGAACAAUUAUUUAAUAUUUAUAUUAAGACUUACUUACCUGUAUUUCUAUUCUUACAUGUUCCUGUUAUUUACUGACGUCAUGGACAGCUAGAAACAAUCUCUGCCUAAAGCCCUGGGUGCCUGGAGCACCUUCCACGUUGCCCCAGGCCUGUGGAAUCGGACAGAACCACCGUGGUGUGUGCAGUGCCAGGAGGCGUCUCCCAGCAGCACUGAGCCCCAGCACCCUGGAGGCAGGGGAGGUGACUGGCUGGGAACGAAGGCAACAGAAAUGGCCAUGAAGUUCUGAGAUGUGGAAGGUGCCCCAGACAGGGACCCGGUCCCGUGGCUUUACUCUAGACAGUACCAAGUGUUAGAGUCUGUAAACAAGUCAGGAUGGCGCCUGGUAUUUUGCCAGGGGGAGUGGUUUGUGAGGUGGCGCCAGCGAGCCAUUAAGUGUGGAGAU
rnacentral:lncRNA from 1 species